CAGCUUUCCUUCGGUGCCUCUCUUUCUCCAGAUAUGUUUUGCAACAACAGAUUGAUCCUUGCAAACAGCAUGUACUGCAUGCCAUGAAAGCUUCAUCACAGACUUUGGAAAAAAGCCUUUCACAAGAAUAAGGAAGAAACGCUUCAGCUGGUAAUCCAGCACUCUGAAUUUCUGACUGUGAAAUCUUAUCCUAAAUUUUUCAGGCAUGCUGAAACACCUUCACUCCAAAUUUGCCCUUGUGAUGUGAAGUAUCCUCAUUUCAUGUGCAGUACAUGCCUACAUCUUCAUCUACAAACAGCAAAAAUCUGCAGUUAAUAAAUAAUGCAAGAGGAGCUAUUCAAACACCAAAGAGCAAACACUAAAGAUUGUACUUCAUGUUGGCCUUAGAAAUCCUGGUAGUUCAGCUGUGGAGCCAUCCCUUACGAUGAGAUACUUUCAAAUGAGCAAUAUGGCAAAAACACAACACUGAAUAUUGAAGACUAUUCAAAAGUGGGAACUAGGAAGGACACUUGGGGUAUUAAAGGGAGCCAUAAAUAACCUUGCAAAAGGACUGUCCUAGACAGAGGAACAGAUUCUAUGAAGCCUACUCAGUCAAUGAAUAUAAACACAUAACCUCUUUUUCCCCACCUCCCUUUCCUUUUCCAGUGCUAUUGCAGAGAUUGCCACCUAGAAUAGACUUGGAGAACAAAAAAACAUUUUAAUCUAACAUCUCCUAAGUUUAGGUGAUUAGCAAAUAGCUAACCCAUUAAUGCUGGUUUUGACAAGAACGGAGGCCAAAAGUUGUGAAACCUUGCCUGGUAGAUAAAUGGUACCUUUCUCAGCCAUCUGUCUUACAAAUGAUCCCAUACAUACAGCUAUUAUUUCACUCAGACACUGGAAGCUCAGCAAUUGUUCAUGGCCUCAGUGAAGAAUAAUACCUGUCAUACAGUUUCAUUGCUCUGACUUUUAACAGACCUGUUUGCAGCUUGUCUCAAACACUGAACAAGUGCACAUGAGGAAGCACCAGAAAAGAAUAGGUAAGAUAAAAUACCAAGGACACUCACAUUUCUCUCUAUGUAUGUUUAAAACACCUCAGAACUGUCCUGAAGAAAAUUGCUGCUAAAAUUGCAAAUGGUUCUUUACUCAUUUGUGAGAAAACACUGAACAGUCUGCUGCUUUUGGCUGGUAUAAUUUUCUUCACACUAACAAGUAAGGGGCUGUGCUUUAAAUCUGUGCUGGAAAGAGUGCUGAUAAUUGAAGGAUGUUUUAGUUAUUGCUGAGCAGGCCUUGCACAUUGUCAUGGCCUUUUCUGUUUCGUCAGCCUCAAAGAGGUUGAGGCUGAACAAUGAACUGGGAGGGGACACAAGCAGGACACUGACCCCAGCUGACCAGAGGGAUAAUCCUACACUGUGCAGUUUUGUGCUCAGUAUAUAAAGCUGGGGCAAGAAGGAAGUGGGGGAAGACACACUGGGAGCGAUGGCAGUGUCUUCCCAGGUAAGGGGUACGUUUCUCCUCUUCCCUGGGACAUUCUCAGAAGUUACCUCAUCACCUCCUCUGACUUGCUUACCUGGUGAUGCAGGAGUCUCCAAUCUGUCCCUCAUCUUGCACAACCUCUCCUCAGGUUCAGGCAGACUGGCAGCAUGAACAGUGCUUACACUUCCUUAUUCCUAAAAAGCAAUAGUGUCAUGCUUUUGACGAGUCUCUCACAAUCCUCAAAAAAAUGCAAAUAAAUCUAAUAGCCUUCUCUUUUAUGUUUCCUUAUUCUAGGUUUUCUCACAGAAACAAAGAAGUGUUUCCAAAUGCUAUUUUUCAUAAAACCAGUAAAAAUUUUGGAAAGGAUUCUCAUUAAAAUCUUAAUACUUCUGACAAGUAAAUGUGUUUUCUGCAGAAGUCCUAGUUUCAGCAUCAUGCCAAAGCAAAGAAAGCUUUCAUAUGUCUAUUCUUUCUGAAACAGGAAAAAAACCCCAACUGGUUUGGCUGCAAAUCAGCAUGAUUAUUGUUAGUUGCACAUGUUGAAGACUUUGUUUUCAAUACAGUAUGAAACACUA